UGCCCAAGAGAUCGGGAUAACACCUGGAAACAGAUGCUAAUACCGGAUAACAACAGAUGAUGCCUAUCAACUGUUUAAAAGAUGGUUCUGCUAUCACUCUUGGAUGGACCUGCGGUGCAUUAGCUAGUUGGUAGGGUAACGGCCUACCAAGGCGAUGAUGCAUAGCCGAGUUGAGAGACUGAUCGGCCACAUUGGGACUGAGACACGGCCCAAACUCCUACGGGAGGCAGCAGGGU
rnacentral:rRNA from 1 species